CAAGGUUGGGACCUCUGAGUCCGACAAACAAAAAGAGCCGAUUCUGAGUCUGCAGCAUGCUGUAGACACAUCUGGCUUCUCUCAGCUCACAAUGAAGUAAUACGAAUUGUGGUAAAAAGCUCUAUUUGUACAAAUGCAAAUAAUAUUCCAUCUGCUCAGAAUUUUUUUUCCCUUAUAUAGCUUUUGUUCCAAUGUGGUAAAAGCCUGUUUCUUUACCUGAAGUGCUCCUGCUGAUGAAGAGUGAAGUACAUGACAAUGAACUAAAAUCCAUUAUCAAACAAAUACAUUGGGAUUUGGAAGAACUGCUUUCCAAGCUCCUAUGUUGGAAGGAAACUUAACCCCCAGGCUGCUGAAAUCAAGCAUGGGAAGUUUCAAGAGAUAACAACCUCAGGACUUGCUGGUGGUGACAAACAAAAGGAAAAUAUACAAAUGAAUGACAGUUAUCAUAAGACCACAGCAAAAGGCAUUGAGAAGCCCAGGCGAAAGAACACUGGUACCUGGGAAAGAAUUUGGCCUUCUUUACAACACACUUGAUUUUAUGCUUGGCCCUUUGUUUUACUUCAUGGCCUGCUUCUAUUAUCUGUAAUAUCUAUUUUGAUCAGAAAAGAAAGCAAGGAACUUGAUCUUUUUUUUUCUUUUAGGACCAGGGAAGAAGUGGAACAGAAAAAAUUAUAAGCUGUGUGAGCAUGAAAUACACUUCUACCUUACACAAUAAUUGAGAGCCCACUUGAUAGCAUGUUAUGAUGUUUUAUUUAUGCCCUGUAAUCUUAUUCAAUAUUAGUUGGAUUUCACCUAAAACA